GCAGCCAAUAUACUGAAAUUAUAACAAUUAUAAUAAUACAGAAAAGAUUACAAUGGCCUUGUGCAAGGAUGACAUGUAAAUUUGUGAGGCAUUAUGUAUUUUA